UAGGGAAUCUUCCACAAUGGACGAAAAGUCUGAUGGAGCAACGCCGCGUGAGUGAAGAAGGGUUUCGGCUCGUAAAAACUCUGUUGUUAAAGAAGAACAUAUCUGAGAGUAACUGUUUACCCAGUGACGGUAUUUAAACCAGAAAGCCACGGCUAACUACGUGCCAG
rnacentral:rRNA from 1 species